rnacentral:sRNA from 1 species
CUCUAAACCUGACAGCAGCGAAAAUCCUUUUUGUUUUCACUUACAGUAAAAGAUUGCCCCGUCGUUCCUUCUCAGCAAUGACGAUAAUAGGGGAUUUACAAAACAAAAAGAUUGAAACGAAUGGCGGGGCUGCAG